rnacentral:rRNA from 1 species
AGAGUUUGAUCAUGGCUCAGGAUGAACGCUAGCUACAGGCUUAACACAUGCAGGUCGAGGGGAAACGAUAUUGGAAGCUUGCUUCCGAUAGGCGUCGACCGGCGCACGGGUGAGUAACGCGUAUCCAACCUGCCCACCACUUGGGGAUAACCUUGCGAAAGUAAGACUAAUACCCAAUGACGUCUCUAGAAGACAUCUGAAGGAGAUUAAAGAUUUAUCGGUGAUGGAUGGGGAUGCGUCUGAUUAGCUUGUUGGCGGGGUAACGGCCCACCAAGGCAACGAUCAGUAGGGGUUCUGAGAGGAAGGUCCCCCACAUUGGAACUGAGACACGGUCCAAACUCCUACGGGAGGCAGCAGUGAGGAAUAUUGGUCAAUGGGCGAGAGCCUGAACCAGCCAAGUAGCGUGCAGGAAGACGGCCCUAUGGGUUGUAAACUGCUUUUAUAAGGGAAUAAAGUUAGUCUCGUGAGACUUUUUGCAUGUACCUUAUGAAUAAGGACCGGCUAAUUCCGUGCCAGCAGCCGCGGUAAUACGGAAGGUCCGGGCGUUAUCCGGAUUUAUUGGGUUUAAAGGGAGCGUAGGCCGGAGAUUAAGCGUGUUGUGAAAUGUAGACGCUCAACGUCUGCACUGCAGCGCGAACUGGUUUCCUUGAGUACGCACAAAGUGGGCGGAAUUCGUGGUGUAGCGGUGAAAUGCUUAGAUAUCACGAAGAACUCCGAUUGCAAAGGCAGCUCACUGGAGCGCAACUGACGCUGAAGCUCGAAAGUGCGGGUAUCGAACAGGAUUAGAUACCCUGGUAGUCCGCACGGUAAACGAUGGAUGCCCGCUGUUGGUCUGAACAGGUCAGCGGCCAAGCGAAAGCAUUAAGCAUCCCACCUGGGGAGUACGCCGGCAACGGUGAAACUCAAAGGAAUUGACGGGGGCCCGCACAAGCGGAGGAACAUGUGGUUUAAUUCGAUGAUACGCGAGGAACCUUACCCGGGCUUGAAUUGCAGAGGAAGGAUUUGGAGACAAUGACGCCCUUCGGGGUCUCUGUGAAGGUGCUGCAUGGUUGUCGUCAGCUCGUGCCGUGAGGUGUCGGCUUAAGUGCCAUAACGAGCGCAACCCCUCUCCUUAGUUGCCAUCAGGUUAAGCUGGGCACUCUGGGGACACUGCCACCGUAAGGUGUGAGGAAGGUGGGGAUGACGUCAAAUCAGCACGGCCC